rnacentral:lncRNA from 1 species
AUGGGUGGAGAAGAAACUAAAUCAACCUUUGUUUUCUCAUCCAUACCAGAUCUGAAUUUUCUUUUCUGUGGCUAUGAUUUUGCCACAACAGAGAAGACGUUUUGCCUUAAAAACAUAGGUUUCUGGCCAGGCGCGGUGGCUCACGCCUGUAAUCCCAGCACUUUGGGAGGCCGAGGCAGGCUGGUCUCAAACUCCUGACCUCAGGUGAUCCACCUGCCUCGGCCUCCCAAAGUGCUGUGAUUACAGGCGGUGCCAGGACUGUAUUUCUUUUUUUCUUUUUUCGUUUUGAGACGGAGUCUUGCUUUGUCACCCAGGCUGGAGUGCAAUAACGUGAUCUCGGCUCACUGCAACCUCUGCCUCCCAGUUCAAGCGAUUCUCCUGCCUCAGCCUCCAGAGUAGCUUGGACUACAGGUGCGCACCACCACGCUGGCCUAAUUUUUGUAUUUUUGGUAGAGAUGGGAUUUCACCAUGUUAGCGAGACUGGUCUCGAACUUCUGACCUCAGGUGAUCCACCCGCCUUGGCCUCCCAGAGUGCUGGGAUUACCGACGUGAGCCACCGUGCUCAGCUGCAGGAGGACUGUAGAUGAUAUCAUACUGUGUGUUGAAAUUUUGCCAAGAGUAGAUUUUACCCUCACAAACAAACACAAAGAGGGUAGUCAUUUCACAAUGUGUCUAUGAAAUCAUGUUGCAUACCUUGUAUACAACCAAAAAUCAAUUUUUAGAAAUUGGCUUCAAUCGUGUAUGAUAUAUACGUAUAUGCACAUGUAUAUGAGAGAUUAUUUAUGUAUACAUAUAACAAGACACAUGUUUAUGUAUAGGUGGUCCCCAACUUAAAAUGGCUCAACUCACAAUUUUCUGACUUUGUGAUGGGUUUAUUGUAGUAUUAAAUACAUUUUCAACUUACAAUAUUUUCAUCUUACGAUGGGUUUAUCAGGACAAAGCCCCAUGGUAAGUCCAGGAGCAUAUUUAUGCAUACACAGGUAUGUGUACAUGAUACAUAUUGAUAUGUAUUGAUGCUGUGUGGAUAUAUUGAUGCAUAUGUGUGCUGUGUAUGUAUGAGGCAAAUCUGCGCAUGUCUGUGUACAUGGUAAAUAUUUACGUCCGUCUGUGCGUGUCAUAGAC